CGAAGGUUCUCCCAUUUUCGAGCAGCGAUGAACACUCGUGGAAACAAUGUGUGUUGGAAAUCGGUGUGGCCCUCGCCACAGGCGUCUUUGACAAGCAGACUGAUGUCGGCGUAUCACUCAUCAAGAUUUAUCGAGACUUAGACUAAUUGCCGCUUUUAAUAGAAAUUCGUGCGGCCUUACAGAGGGCUCUACUUAGCGGUUCGUCCCUUUCUUUAUUCCCCUUCUUCGACGAGGCUCGUUUUUUUCCUGCUUUUCGUCGUCGUUUCGAGCCGAAACCGAGGCGAGAAGAAAGCUGAUUCAACGAACGAUUAUCACGGAUAACGCGAUGGGAAUUACGUGAAAUAUUGACUACGUUCUAACUUGAUGUUUCGUGUCUCGUGUGUUCAACGUGCUAAUUGCGGAUACGUGAACGCGAUGUGUUGAGGUUUAGGACAAUUUCUGGAACGAGGGGAAGCUGUCGAUUUGAAUAGCCGUUCGUGCUGCGUCCCGUUUACAAUUUUCUCAGCCUCGUUAGACUACCAAAUGACCGAAAUAUCUUCCUGAUUGCCAUAUUGACCGAAUGAAUGAGCUCUUUGCAUAACUUUGGAACUGGGACACCGUCAGAACUCGACCACCCGGCAUUUGACUCGACACGAAGACUCCUGAAGAGCUGUGGUUCCUGAAAACGCCACUAGAGAAUUAUGCAAAAUCCUCUGUUUGCUGUGCGUUACACGCAUUGUGUUGGUGGUUUUGUAAAUUACACGGUCCCUGUCUUUUCCGGAACGCGUAACCACGAACGAGCAUUCAUAGACAUUUGUACAAACGCCUGGAACAUUCGUGUACGAACUGUUUGAAAGUCUCUUUCGAAGGAGUCGCUUAGAAUGUUUGGAAUAAAGUUCGAGGUUAUGGACAAUUGUGUGAAAAUUGUGAGCAAAGAAUAGUUGACAGUGGAGGAAUUUUUCUGAAGAAAAUGAAGAUAACUCAGAUGAAAAUUAAUAAUUAGUAGAAGAGUAUAAUAUAAGAAAGUUAAUUUGUGGCUAUGCAAGAGUCACAAAUUUAAAUUUAAAUUUAAAUUAUUUGCAAUUAGGAAAAUUGAGUGAAAUAUUUGUAUUAAAAAAUACUAUUAAGGGAGUGUUAUAUAACUCCAUGUUAAUUUGAGGCUACGCAAGAGUCAAUUUAAAUUUAAAUUAGGAAAAUUUAGUGAAUUUUUGUCUGUAGUAAAAAAUGCUAUUAAGAAGAGUAUGAAGUAACAUAAUGUUAAUUUGUGGCUACGCAAGAGUCAGUUUAAAUUAGGCAAACUUAGUGAAUUUUUAUUUGUAUUAAAAAAUACUAUUAAGAAGAGUAUGAUAUAACAAAAUGUUAAUUUAUG